rnacentral:rRNA from 1 species
UACAGAGGGUGCAAGCGUUGCUCGGAAUCAUUGGGCGUAAAGGGUAGGUAGGUGGUCUCAUUUGUCGGGGGUGAAAGCCUUGGGCUUAACCCAAGAAGUGCCUUCGAAACGGUGAGACUAGAGUUCUGGAGAGGCUAGGGGAAUUCCCGGUGUAGCGGUGAAAUGCGUAGAGAUCGGGAGGAACACCAGAGGCGAAGGCGCCUAGCUGGACAGAUACUGACACUCGAACUACGAAAGCGUGGGGAGCAAA